rnacentral:rRNA from 1 species
GACGAACGCUGGCGGCGUGCUUAACACAUGCAAGUCGAACGGAAGGGCCCUGCUUUUGUGGGGUGCUCGAGUGGCGAACGGGUGAGUAACACGUGAGUAACCUGCCCUUGACUUUGGGAUAACUUCAAGAAACUGGGGCUAAUACCGGAUAGGAGCUCCUGCUGCAUGGUGGGGGUUGGAAAGUUUCGGCGGUUGGGGAUGGACUCGCGGCUUAUCAGCUUGUUGGUGGGGUAGUGGCUUACCAAGGCUUUGACGGGUAGCCGGCCUGAGAGGGUGACCGGCCACAUUGGGGCUGAGAUACGGCCCAGACUCCUACGGGAGGCAGCAGUGGGGAAUAUUGCACAAUGGGCGGAAGCCUGAUGCAGCAACGCCGCGUGCGGGAUGACGGCCUUCGGGUUGUAAACCGCUUUCGCCUGUGACGAAGCGUGAGUGACGGUAAUGGGUAAAGAAGCACCGGCUAACUACGUG